rnacentral:lncRNA from 1 species
GUCGCGGCCCGACGUCCCCUCGAUGGCGGCGUCCACGGGACAGCCGCUUUCGUUCCAUCGGACGACGUUGCGCACGGUGACGGCGAGUGCCCUCCAGGCAAGCGACGCCAUCGAGAGGACGGCGAGCCAAUCGGUCGCGCGUGGGUCACCCGCCAGGGCGUCGCGACAUAGGGCAAAUGUCCAGUCUGGCGCGCAGGCUGGAUCGAUGUGGGCGGUCCGACACUCUUGCGUCUGCCCGCCGCGCAGGGCAUAGUCUUGUUGAUGGUAAGCCUCGGAGCGCGUGGCGAGGAUGCGACGCACAAGACUACUCCAGAAGACAACACGGCCGCACGAGUCGCGCCACAACCCGUCGUCGUAGUGCCGUUGGCCUAGAAACACACCGUCGGCAUAGGUAUAGGCAUAGAUUCGCGCCCGUGGAAAAGGCUUGCCGCUCAAUAACGGUCGCAGACGAGCGCGCAAUCGGGCCUCGUCAGCGGCGCGCAGACGAUGCCCGAGGUCGCACACAGUCUCUUGCGCGCUUGUGACACGCGCCCCCGACAGGGUCAGACUGUGCACUCGUCCACUAUUCAGAAGGUCGCGUCGUCGGUCGUUGGUGUCAUCGUCGUCGAUGCCAGAGGCGGCUACGACAGCGAGCACCGACCCCAGGCACUCCCUCGUGAAGGCAUCGGCAAAGGCGAUUAUGUCGGCCAGGGCAUUUCGUCUCGAUGCGCCGCCUGGGCUCACGCUCGCACCGCGCAGCGUCUCGGACAAGGCGACGCAAGACUCGCUGAUCGAAUGGAUCCGAUUGCCGACGUCGACAAGCACGCCCAUUGUCGAUCCCAGGGCGCGCACGCGGGCCAACUCGCUGGACAUCUGGCGUGUGGUCAUGAGUCGCGCGCCGGUGGCAGCGGCGACCCCGCCGGUACCUCCAAAGACCCAGAAUCCGGGCGUGAUGCCGACGGCAGUAGAGGUGACGCGCGUUGCCGGCCUCGGACCGGGUCCGAGCGCAUCCAACGCGCUAUUUGUCGUCAAGACGACGCGGCGGUCAAGUUCGGCACGCCUCCCGAUCGAUGCUUCGUUCUCCAGCGUGCGCACGAUAUCAUACAGGAUGGCUGCGUCGCACGCUGUCAGCACGCUAUUGCAGCCGUCGCUGGCAAGCGUGGCGUCGACGAGCCACGCCGGACACACGGACGGCGUCGCUCGGCCCGUACGGAAAUUCGUCGACGUAUCCGCAAAGGACCUCCAAAACGUAUCGCCCAUGAGCGCUGCGAUCUCCAUGGCGCAGUGGGCGACAUCGUCGCCGGCAAGAGAUCGCGCGAGCAACUCCUCACCCAACGGUCGAUCGCCGUUCCAGAUGUCCCAGACGUGGGGGUGCACUUGGCGAUCAUUGACAAACAGAAGCGGCGCGUGGUCACAAUCGUCGCCACGGCAUGUGAAGACGACGCGAUCGGCGAUGGCUUUCGUGUCGAUGGCUUCCGCCGGAACACCGGGCCCGUCAUAGAGGACGUCAUCACCGAGGACGACGCGGCGCACACCGGCGUGGUCGCAUGCGAUCAGGCCGAUGUGCGCCGAAAUGCGAUGCGCGAUCCGGUCGAGACGCGCGCGCGACAAGAGAUCGAUCGCGGCGCCAAGGACAGGCGAGGUAUCGUCCCGUUCGCGAUGGGAGCCAUCGUGAUCGUCGCAGCAGGGUGGCGCGUUGGUGUGCGACGAUGCCAUGGCAGACAACGCGAUCGUGUUUCGGGCGUCCUUUGUGUAUCCGUGCGUGUGUGUUUUGCUCCUGUAUUUUUCUUUCUUUUGGUCGCCCACCGGCCGAUCGGGGAUGCGCACAGACCACACGAAAGAGGCUGCUUCUCUGUGUGUUUCUGGCCAUGCGUCGUCCUGCGCCCAUUGGUCCCGCCCGGUGCUGGUGGUCGUCCCUUGGUGGGAGCCGCGAAAAAAAAAAGAGAACCGGCGUAUUGCCCAGCGGCGCCAAAGUCAGGGCUUGCGCAUAUUGGUUGGUCCUAUUCGCAUGGCCGACUCCUUUUCGGACCCUUGCUCGGCAAGCGAGCAGCGCGAGAAAAAGGCGGCUUUAUUUCGAAUCGAUAAAGAAA